rnacentral:lncRNA from 1 species
UGCAAAAAUGGAUACCUUCAGAGGAACCUGCUUAUGCCAAACAAGAUCAUACGUUCCACCCACUGGAGGGUCGUUUGGAGUAGUCAAAAUUUGAUAAACGCCACUCACAGUGUAACCCCCUUGGAUGUCUGGGUUCCACUGCCACCUGUCAGAAAUGUCAGUCUGCAAAACAAAAGCAUUAAGAAUAUGUCUACACUCAUCCCACGCCCAUAACCUCCUCCUCCAACUCCAAGGCUCCCCCCUUCUUCCCACUCUAGAGAAAACAUUUCAGCCACCGUACACAACCUAUUAUUUGUUAAAUCAAAAAGGCAACUAAACCUUGUGCGUAAUGGCACAUCUCCCAACCACCUAUCAUGCCAAAACAAAGUACUAGUUCCGUCCCCCACCCUUUUCGACACCCUCUCUGCAAACCAACCCCCAUCCGUGUCUCCUACUCCAUCCCUAAUCUUCGCUAUCUCCCUCCACUAAAAAGAAUCACUCCGGCCCCCUACCACCAACCUCCCAGCCUCCUCACCAUACCGCGCCACCAACACCUUAUACCAGAACCCCUCUCUAUCCACCAACAUCCUCCAACACCAUUUUCCUAAUAAAGCAUAAUUAAACUCCCUUAAUUCCCUUAAUUUCAUGUUAUCCUCACUCCCUCCCCAAAAUUUUUUAUUAAAAAUAGAUUCAAUGAUAGAGAUUAUACCUGACGGAGCUUUGAAGAAGGAAAGAGCAUAGACAAGAAGCGAGGUCAAGACAGACUUUAAAAGGACCAACCGACCACCAUAGGAUAGAAAGCGACUCUGCCACCCCGACAAUCUGGACUUAAUUGUAUGCAACACAGGAUCCCAGAAUGCUAACCGAUUCGGAUUACCACCAAUAGAAAGACCCAGAUACAAAAAAGGAAUCUUGCCCACCUUACAGUUUAAAAUUGAGGCCGCCUCAUUCAACCAAGACUCCGCAAUAUUAAUACCAACCAACAUGCUUUUAUUAAAAUUUACCUUCAGCCCUGACAUUUCCGCAAACAAAGUUAACACUGCUUGCAAAGCACGCACAUUGGCCCAACUUUUUGUACCCAAUAACAAUGAAUCGUCCGCAAAUUGUAAGUGAGACACAACGGUCGAGUUAGAAGUACCAACCAUGUAUCCUGUAAACAAAUUAUUCCUCAUCACCGAAUUCAUCAUAACAUUCAACCCCUCGGCUGCUAGCAUAAACAAAAAUGGAGACAAAGGGUCCCCUUGACGAAGGCCCCUUUCCAAAGGAAAUUCUUCGGUGGGCUUUGUAUUGGACCUUAUGAUUUGAACACGUAAAUUUAGAUUUUAUUUUUUCACCCUGCUAAUUUCUCACGCACCUCCAAAUUUUCCAUUUUGCCCACCUUUGAAUUAUAUAAUCUAAAAAUACCAUGAUUACACCUGAAAAAUACCAUGAUUCCUGUAAAAAAAAUAUAACCUAAAAAUACAUAAUAUUAGUUCAUAUAAUAAAAUACAAUAUGUGUCAAAAUCUCUAUCAAACCAAUUUUAAAGACCAAUUACAGUUCAUAAGUUACCGCGGUCUAAAUUAUAUAAUUCAAACUCAUAACAUACAUUUUAAACCUGAAGCUAUAGACUUAAGUGCAAACAUGAUUCGACUCUUUUAUAUAGGAAGUACAUCAACUUUUUUAUUACUUCACUUAUAUUUUUUCAUAAAUAUUUUUUCUUAAUUUUAACUAAUUACCACACACAUACAUGUGUGUAUGGUAUUUAUUAAUUAUUCAGUUCAACUAGUUGAACCUUGAUUUAAAAGUCUCAUCGAUUCUAUCUCUAGUAUGAUUUUUAAAAUAUUAAUCCGAGCUAAAAUAAAAAAUCAAGAAAACAAGAUCGAGGGAAAAUUACCAAGUGCUCAGAGAAAAGGCUAAGCAAUUUAGCCACAUAGAGUUCAACUUGAAAACAGGGCAAAAUUGUUAACGCGUCAUCAUAUGAAUUUCACAUAUAUGUUUGCUGCCAAUAUCUGAAAUACGAACAAAAUUAAAUGCAUGUGUAAAACUUUCUUACAUUGACAACAUAUGCAAAUUAAACUCUUGUAUUUAUUUAAUGUUUUUUUAAUCUUAUCUUAUUUAUUUAAUGUUUUAAAAGUUUAAACAUUUAUUUUUUAAAUUCGACUUUUAGCUCCUUAACCCAUGGUAUUGAGGCACAAGUAACAUAAGUUACACAUCAGUUACAUUAAAAAGAAAAAAACACACAUCAGUAUAAAAAAAGGUGACAACUAGAGUACCAUGGAAGAAUGGUGGGUAAUUUACCCCAACCAAUACACAUUAGCUACAUAAGUAUAUUUUUAAGUGGUAUCCAUGAACUAUCUUGAUCCCACCAACAAAUUGCUCAUUUUCAUUGGUUGGUGGAUAAAUUAUCCACCAUUCUUCAAAGGUAAUCUAGAAAAAACCAUAAAAGAAAUGAAAAAAAAGACAUAAGUUACACAUGGUGUGAACAAAAAGGUUCCACUAUUUGUGCCUAGCUCGCGCGUGUGGCUGUGGCCAACCUCUUGUGUAUUUCUGUUUCUGUUAUUUUGGAGUCAUCACAGAUUUUUCGAUAAAACUACGUGACGACAAGAUGGAAUAAUGGAGUGAGUAAGAUAGCAAUGUACUACAUGGUUCAAUCAUAUCCACUUACACUGCCUUUGGAAUCUCUCUCUCAUCAUAGUGUUCAUACGGAAAAAAGGUCAAAAAACGGCUUUGGACAAUACUAGUUACUAUAUGCUGUUCGGAGACUUGACCAAAAAAAAAUUAGUUUGGAGAAACAUGGAAAUGUUUUCUUUUUUCCUUUAAAAAAAAGUUUUAAUUUUAUCAUAAAAUCAAAAGAAAUUAAAAAAGUUUUAUCAUUAAGUAGUGUGAAAUCCUCGCCGAGUUAAUUUCAACUUUCAUUUUUAGUUUUCAAGGUUAAAUCAAAAGAUAAAAUUGAAAAGGAAAUUAAAAAAAUCUCAAAAAGAAAGUUCAUGCCGUCCUUAUAUCCUUAAGUUUCUGGGAAGCGUGAAUCAAGAGUUCAUGGUCGAAAUAAGCAUCAAGUUUGGCCAUGAAAUCAACAUUUCGAUUACCUUCACGAAGAGUGAGUGAACAGUUCUGAAUUGACAAUUUGGAUUUAAUUUGUAGACAUCAAUAGUGUAUUUUUUUUUACACAAGCAACAAAUCAAACUACAUCGUAGUGUUACUUUUUUAGGUAGUUCAUAAAAUAUAUCUACAAAUAUCUAUUUGAAACGAUAAGUUUAACAUCUCAAUGCAUGAAUGUUGUUCGUCUAUUUGACGUGAUUUGAUUGGAUGUACAUAAGUUUUAUACAUCAAUGUAAGGAUGUCGUUGAAGAAUCUAAUGCUCAGCCAUAGAUCAAUAUAUACAAAUCAUAACAUAGAAUUAGUAGCAAAAAAGAAUAAGGAAUUAUGUACCUUAUAUAAUUGGCCAUUAAGAAUAUGUUAGAGAAACCAUGUAGAAAAAGAUGUUAGGGUUGAGAGAGUCUUCUCUCCCUUCAUGAUGCCUAUAAUGAAAGUGCGUUGGCAGUUAUCUGACUUGAUGGGAUAGUCGGUAUAUAAAAACAUGAGUAGAGAAAGAGACCUCUCAAUAGGUUUAUUUUGAGAAACGGUCUAACCCAUCAUAGUUUAUUUCAACUUACAAUCCAUUAAUAAUUAUCUUUUUUAUUUAGUACAAUAUUAUAAUUAAAAUUAAUAGUUGAUAUAAUAGUAUAUUAUUUUAAUUAUUGACUAAGGUUAAUCCAUAAAUUCCAAUAGUUGUUUGAUGUGAUUUCGACAAAGUCACGGUAGAAAACAUGUACUCGGUGUUUUUGCUGUGAUAAUGUUGUUUGAAGAACAAUAAAUACAAGUGCCAAUCCAAGAAGGAAGUGAUACACAUGAUCUAUGAUCUUCAACGUGACAUCAUUUUAUUUUUUUUGAGUGGAUGAAUAUAAAGUUAUAUGAUAAACAUGAGUAAAAAGAGAUAUAAAAAAGAGAAACUAUAAGUCAAAAAUUACCAUCUUAAAAUUUAUAUUAUAUUUAAGAUUGUGAUUUUUGGCUUGUAAUUUAUCUUUUUUAAGUGGAAGUAUAUGUGUUCGGUUGCGUCAUGAAUCAAAAUGUAUUUUACUACUGAGGAUAACUGUACAUUCUAGUGAUUUUAAAAGGAAUGCAUUUAAAAAAAUUAGAGAAAUGAAGAGAGGUGGUAUUUAACAGCGAGGGAUUAAUUAGGGUGAGCAAAAACAUUUGAAUUGACCGAACUCAUAUUAACGUGAUCAAGUUUUCAAGUCUACGGAUGAAAAACAACAAGUAACAAUUGUCCACUGUUUGGUGCAUCAAGCGAUUUAAUUAAUAUAAGGCUUAAAUAUGCCGACGAUCGAAUCUGAUAGAGGUUGGAAGAUCGUGAGUCUUUUCUGUCUUAUUUUAAGUAGUAAAAUUUCAUUUCUUUCAAAAAAAAAAUUAUAUGCAAACCUUUAAACCCAAGACUCAAGAUAAACAGUAAUGUUGCAAAGUCAAACUACGUCUUUGUAAUGUCAUUGAUGCAAUUUUUCGAUGGUGCACUCUUGUUUUUUUUUUAGGUGAGCCAUUUUAGCCCCGAAUCUAUCUCAUUUAUACUCUUGCUAAUUUACUGUUCUUUUAUAAUGGUUUGAAGGUGACGAUAUUUGCUUGGCGUCUCAUUAGGGAUCGAUUAUCGACGAGAUCAAAUUUGGCAGCAAGAGGUAUCUUACAGUUAGACACUGCUCUUUGUGUCACAGUGUGUGGUUCGAUUGAAACAUCAGAUCAUUUAUUUCUUUCAUGCCCGUUUUUUUGCGGAAUUAUGGGAGCAACUGCGUCUCUGGAUAGGUUGUGUGGGGGUCGACUCCAACAUUAUUUCUAAUCACUUCGUGCAGUUCACUUGUUUGUCAGGUUUUGCCAAAGCUAGGCGAUCGUUUAUUCAGUUAAUCUGGCUUCUGACUACUUGGGUGAUUUGGAGUAAGCGUAAUAAUCGUUUGUUUAAAAAUGUUGUAACCUAGGCUCAUAGAUUGCUUGAUAAAAUUAAGUUGUUAUCGUUAAUGUGGUUGAAAGCUAAAAAUGUAACUUUUGUUUUAGGAACUCAGAUGUGGUGGUCAAAUCCUUUGGUUUGUUUGGGCAUUGGCUAACCACCGGAGGGUGUUUCUCCUCUUGAUAUUGUUUCCUUGUAUGUUGGUAGUAGUCUUUUAAGCACACAUUGUGCUAAGAGAUUGCUAUUGUUUUUGGUAAUAUAAUUUCAUUUUGGUUUGUUAAAAAAAGUAAUGAAUAUCUUAAUAAGAAAUUUAAUUGAAGGACUAGAUAGACGAUAGAGUAAUUUAUAGAUUCCUUUAAUCGAGAUUUUUUGGUACAUCUUUUUAAUCGAUUUUAAUUGUUUAGCAUUCAUGAAAAAGUGAUAAUUGUCUGUUUAUUCAUUUUCAUAUUAUGGACUUAAAAAAAUUGUAAGAUUCUUCAAUCUUUUCCUUUCACACAUUCCCUUCUAGACAUCAAUAAUAGAUUCCUUCAAAAAAAAAGACAUCAAUAAUAGGUGGUUCGUCUUUGUAUUUUUUUUUUUGUUUGAAAGAGAAUACCCCAAACAAAAUUAUUUCUUUGGAAUUUGGAUGCAAUGCGACUAAGUGUCCCAAGUGUGGACCGCCAUAUGGGUCUGCGUUUGAAUUAUGAAGCAGCUUCGAAAUAAUCGAAAUAAAAUUUUCAUCCAUAAAAAAUUGGAUUAAUUUUGUUUUUGGUCCCUAUAAAUAUUUGCAGUUUUAUUUUUAGUCCCUUAAAAAUAAUAAAUCAUAUUUUUUAGUCCCUACAAAAUUUUCUGUUAGUGUUUUUAGUCCCUGUUAAAUUAAAAUUUGUUUAAUUAUGCUUAAACUUCUAAAUUUUUGAAAGAUUUUUUACAUACAUGUUCAUAACUCUUAUGUAAAUUUUUUUAGUUUUUUAACAUAAUUAAGUAUGAAUUUUUCUAAAAGUCAAAUUUUCAAUAUUAUAUUAAUGAAAAUUUGAACCUAAUAAUAAAAUUUUAAGUUAUUUUUUUGCGGAGGAACUUUGUAUAAUAUUCUAAGUAAAUAUGUGAAAAUAUGUUACAAAUUUAAAAGUUUAAGCACAAUUAAGCAAAUUUUAAUUUUACAAGGACUAAAAGUAUGUGUUGGUCCCUGUUAAAUUGAAAAUUGUAUAAUUAUACUUAAAAUUUUAUAUUUUUAAAUGAUUUUUAACAGACAUAUUAAGAACAUUAUAAUAAUCUCUUUUAUAAAAAAUUAGAAUUUUUUAACAUGUAAUGAAUUAAAUAUAAUUUUUUAAAAACGCAAAAAUUCAAGAUAAAACUAACGAAAAUUUGGACCUAAAAAUAAAAUUUUGAGCUAAUUUAUUGUGGCAGAACCUUUUAUAAUGUUUUAAACAAGUACGUAAAAAAUUAUUUAAAAAAUUUAAAAUUUUAAGCAUAAUUAAACAAAUUUUAAUUUAACAGGGACUAAAAAUAUUAACAGAAAAUUUUGUAGAGACUAAAAAGUGUGAUUUAUUUUUAUAAAGACUAAAACAAAACUGCAGAUAUUUAUAAGGACCAAAAACUUAAUUAACCCUAAAAAAUUAGAGUAUAUUAAUAGUACUGUUUCUGGAGUGUAAAAUACUAAUGUAAAAUUAUAAGGCUAGAAAAAUAAAAACGUUUAGAUUUUUCUUACAUUGUAAUUGGUGCGUUCCUUUACGUUUUUUUUUUUAGGGGGCGUUCCUUUACUUUUCAACAGCUGAAAUGGUUGCAAACCAUAUAAUUUUAGUCGGGCACACCUUUCAAGGGCUUUAGCUUGCGUGUCACGUUAGCAACGGUUCACCACGCCCUCUAACAAAUCACUCUGACCAUAAUUUUUUUGGGAAGAAAACGCCGAAAUCCGGAUAAGGAAACAUGAGUGCAUGACGUUCUCAGAUAAAUUUAUUAUUUUCUUUUCUUUUAAAUGAAUAAUACAAACUCUUUUUUUCUUUUCUUUUUCUUUUCUUUUAAAUGAAUAAUACAAACUCUUAUCUACUACAGCCUACAGGUAGUUUUUGUUUUGUUUUGAUCAACCUAAACUUACGCUAUAAGUUUAGGGAUAUGAUCAAAUUACAUCAAAGUGUUAAAUUAAUGUCAAAUUAAAUUUGACACGAAAUCCUAACCAUUAAUCUAACAUUGAUUCGACGUUAGAUUAAAAUUUCUAAAAUAAUAUUUGCAUCAUUUGAUCAAGCAUGUGAGCAUUUAAUGAAUUGUAGAGAGACGUCAGAUUAAAGUUGGAUUAAUGGUUAGGAUUUGGUGUCAAAUUUAAUUUGGCACAUUGGUGUCAUUUGAUCAUAUCUCACACACACACACACACACACAGAUAUAUAUAGGGAUAGGAUCAAAUGACACCAUGGUGUCAAAUUAAAUUUGACACCAAAUCAUAACCAUUAAUUCAACUUUAAUCCGACGUCUCUCAUCAAUUCAUUAAAUGCUCAAAUGCUUAUCAAAUUAUCUAAUUUUUAAUUUUAGAAACAAUUUAUUCUUUCUUUUAUUGAUUAAUUAUUUACCAUUUGAUUUCUCCCUACAAUUUCUUUUUUUUACUAAUCUUUGUUCAAUCAUCUUUGAAUUGACUACUCUUUCAUUUGUUGGAUGGUAGUAUUCUUGAGUUAAUGCUGCUAAUAUUCUUGUAUCGGAUGUUCUAGCAUUUGUGUUUUGCUUUCGUUUAGUAGCAUAAGUUCUUUUUUAUUUUUUGGUGCAAUGUGCUCUUUAUAAAUCAAUUUUCUUUAGUUCUUCUAGGAAAAAUAAAAAUAAAAAAGGUUAAUAGGAAUAAAAAAAAUAAGGAUGAUAAGCCGUAAAAAAAAGAAUGUCAGUGAAUAAUUUUUGGCAAACAAACUAUAAUAAUACCAAUAGAGAAUUUUUGGUAAAUAAUUAAUCAAAAAAAAGAAAGAAUAAAUUGUUUCUAAAAUUAAAAAUUAGAUAAUUUGUUAAGCAUGUGAGCAUUCAAUGAAUUGAUGAGAGACGUCGGAUUAAAGUUGAAUUAAUGGUUAUGAUUUGGUGUCAAAUUUAAUUUGACACCUUGGUGUCAUUUGAUCCUAUCCUAUAAAUUUGACACCAAAUCAUAGUCAUUAAUACGGUUUUAAUCUAACGGCUCCCAUCAAUUCAUUAAGUGCUCACAUGCUUGAUCAAGUGAUCCAUCUUUUAUUUUUAGAAAUAAUUUAUUCUUUUUUCUUUUGGUUAAUUGCUUUCCAAAAAUUCUAAUAUUCUAUAUUUUUUUUUUGUGAAGGAUUCUACAUCGUUUAUUCUUAGGGCUCUCUUGCACAUGAUUUACCCCUAUUUCAUUACUCCAAAACCUAAUUGCCAUUUUUUUUGCUACAUCACUGUUUUUAUGCUUCACUUCCCAAGCUAUUCACCGUUACACCUUCCAUCUUAUCUUUUCCUAUACUAGUCGAAAACUUAAUUUUGUGGCUGCUGUCCAAAACUUAAUUAUCGUUUUGCUCAUCCUAUAACAACCUUAUUUCUUUAUUGAGUUUAUUUCUAUUAACUAUUUUUUCAAAGAGCCUUAAAAGAUUUUUUUUUUAAAGAAGGGCCAGGGAUGCUAAAAACAUGAACAAAAUGAAUAAUGACUAAUUCUCUAAUUUAAGUUCUUUUUGCAAAUGUUGUGAGUAAUUAAUCAGAGAAGUUUUGGAAAGGAAUUAACCGAAAGAAUAAAAAAUAAAUUAUUUCUAAAAAUAAAAGAUGGAUCACUUGAUCAAACAUGUGAGCACUUAAUGAAUUGAUGGAAGCCGUUAGAUUAAGCCCGUAUUAAUGGCUAGGAUUUGGUGUCAAAUUUAAUUUGACACCUUGGUGUCAUUUGAUCCUAUCCCUAUAUAUAUAUAUAUAUAUAUAUAUAUAUAUAUAUAUUUCUGUUGGGAGGAUGACAUUUUAUUUACUGAGUUUAAUGGCCAUUGACGGUUCAAAACAACUUUGCAUAGACAACAUAUCAAAAUAUUUAAAAUUACUACAUCAAUUAAUAUUUUUAAUUUACGUGGUAAUUCAAAAUAUUUUGAUCGGUUUUAUGCGUAAAGUUAUUUUAAACUGUCAACCCACCUCAUUAAACUUUAUACUGUCUUCCUGAUGGUUUGGACAAUGUUUUGUAUUUUAGUAUGGUCAUUAGUCUUAGUUUUUUUUUAAUCUACAAUCAAUUUUCAAAUUAAAUUGAAUAAAUUAGGAGUGUUUCAGAGAAUGAUGACAUAUAUGAGUUUGAGUGUUCUAUUAGAGGAAUUAUUAAGAGUGGUUCGUUGGUUUUGCGAGCGUUUGGAAAUUUGCAUUGCUUUGGUGGCAGAGUUUUCUCGAGUGUGUUUGAAGCUUUACAUUGUGCUUAGAAAUUGGGGGUUUCAAUUAGUGGAACUUGAGGUUGAUUUGUAAGUAGUGUGAUACCAUGCUAAGCAAAAAAUAAGGAUUAAAAGCGGUGAUGAAAUUUUUUUGGGACUAAAAAUCAAACAAAAAUUUUAGAGUGAAUAAAAGAAAAAGUUGAUAUUUUUAUAAGAACAAAAUAUAUAUUUAACAAAGAAAAAAAGGAUAAUUCAUUCCAACUCAUGACGUGGUCAUCCGUAAUGUCAUAAAGAGAUUUUAUGUUUUUCCGAAUUGUCAAAUUUAGUCAUAUAUUUAAUAAAUAGGACAAAGAUAUAAACAAAAUAGAAACUAAUAAGAGACAUUUAAAAAAAUUGCAAAAUUUAAUAAAUAGAAAAAUAUAUAAAAAAGAGAAAUUAACAAAAGACAUUUAAAAAAUUACAAAAAAAGAAAAACGAAAAACAAGGAAAAAGAAGAAGAGAGAAACGAUAAUUUAAAAAAAGAAAAAAGAAAAUAGGAGAGUGCUCGAAAAAAGGGGAGUGUGUGUGUGUUAUUUAUAUAUGAGGCGAUAAGACUCGCGAUUAUCGCACGAAAUUGUUUUGUCAAUUUCUUAAUCUCUAUCCAUUUCUUCUUCUCCACCGUCCUCAUCCUUUCUCUCUACCAUUACCAACCAUGGAUCCAUACAAGGUAUACAACAAUACUUCAAUCUUUUUUCAUUGCUUUCUGUCUCUGAUUUUAUGAUUCAUUCAUUCAAUUUUCUUUUUUGUUCAUUCUAUAGGUUUUUUAAUUUAUUUAUCGAAGCAAUUUUUAUUGUCUCGUUCAAGUGUUAAUUUUGUUAAUUUCGUUACAGCACCGUCCGUCCAGCGCUUACAAUUCUCCUUUCUGGACUACAAAUUCUGGCGCACCUGUUUGGAAUAACAACUCAUCCCUAACCGUUGGAUCCAGAGGUAUAUCUAAUUAAUCAACAACUUAUCCAACCAUCUUUCAUUUAAUCCUUUUUUUUUAUUUUUUAUUUAUCUUAUUUGAUGAAAUUGUUUAACUAUAUCUUUAAAUUAUUCUUUUAACAUAAUUUGAUUUCUUGCCAGCAAAGUUUAAUCACCGUUAAAUUAUAUGAUUUCACGGCUCUUUGAUUUUCCAGUUUAAUAUUAUGACAUCCAUGCAUGUGAUUAAGGCGCUUCAAGCACUUAUCAAAUACGCGCUUAUACUAUAAGGCCAUGUUUGGAUAAACAACUUAUCAACUACUUAUUAUAUAAGUUCUUGUGUGUAAGUUAUUUUUAUAAUAAUAAAAGAUGAAAUUAAAUUAAAUCGCUUUCAUAUAAGUUAUAAAUUAUUAACAACGAUUUAGAGAUCAUUGAGUUGGUAUAUGAUAGAAUAUUACGGUGCCGUUUGAUCCAUAUAGCCGACCCCACAUAGUGGGAUAAGGCUUGAUUGGUUGUUUUUGUAGUUAUAAGUUGUUUUCAUAAACUAUAAUAACCGAGAGUUUAUGAAAAUAAGCUGAAAACAGCUCAUGAACAUGUUAUCAGCUGUUUUCAUAAGUUCUCUUAAACAGUUUCACAUGUACGAUAAUCUCAACUAAGCCUAUACAAACAGGCCCAACUGUUUUUUGAUAUAACUGAAGCUAUAAUGUGAGAAAACUCGUUUUCUAAACUUUGUAUAAGCUAUUUUUAUUUUAUUAUGAGCAGCUUAUGGAAAUAAGCUAAAAACCAGUUAUGACACAUCAUAACUUUUUUGUACGCUCUUACAAAAACUUAGACUAGUGUUUAUAUCAUAAAAAGUCAAAGUAAACCCUCCUGAUUGCUCCAUGUGUGCUAACAGUGCUGUAUGGUCCAAUUUUUAUAUAAAACCACACUACAUUUAGUUGAGUGUCGUGGACUUUGAUUUUCGUAAUUAGUUAUCACCCUUGGUAAUUACAACUUGGAGAAUAUUCUCCAUCUGUCUGUUGUAAAGUUGAGGGUUAAUUUGGACAAAUAAUAAAGUAUCAUGUAAGCAGAAAUUAUAUAUUAUUUUACCCCUUUUGGCAGGUCCAAUUCUCUUGGAAGAUUAUCAUCUUGUGGAAAAGCUUGCCCAAUUUGAUAGGGAACGGAUCCCAGAACGUGUUGUCCAUGCCAGGGGAGCAAGUGCAAAGGGUUUCUUUGAAGUCACACAUGAUAUUUCGCACCUGACUUGUGCAGAUUUCCUACGAGCUCCUGGAGUUCAGACACCCGUCAUUGUGCGUUUCUCCACUGUCAUUCAUGAACGUGGUAGCCCUGAAACCUUGAGAGACCCUCGAGGUUUUGCUGUGAAAUUUUACACCAGAGAGGUAGAAAUUAAUGAAUAUAUAGCAUCAUUUUAUAUCUCCAUAUCUUCUAGUGACUAAAUACAGUUACUGUAGCAGUUCGAAUUUUGUUCACAUGUUCUUUUUAAGCAACUCCAGUUUAGUUGGUAAAAUGCUGAUAAUAGUUUCAACACGAUCAUACAAGCAAAAGAUGCAUAAUGUGAUUUAACCCCAUAUGUAGCAUUUAAUUAAACAAUCUGGUCUAGUGAUUUGAUUAUUCGAUUACCUGAAAAAAUUGAAGACAUGCAUUGUUGGUUUGAGUCCAGCAUUGUCUAAAUCCUUUGUACUUUGAAAUUUCAAGCUAGAGAUAAAGAUUAUGUAGCAUAAUUAAAAAUUAUCUUCCAGUGACUAAAUAUAAUUACAGUAUUAGUUUAAAAUUGCGUCAUUUAUGAAUGUAGUUGCAGUUGUAACCAGGAUGCUAGUGUAUUUGCUUAAAUGCUGACAAUAAUUGUUUUAGAAGAGGUGAUAUGGAACAGUUGGAGUCUUGUACCAUAAAUUAUUCUUAUCUUUACCUUCUGAACACAGGGUAACUUUGACCUUGUUGGAAACAACUUUCCUGUCUUCUUCGUUCACGACGGGAUGAAUUUUCCAGAUAUGGUCCAUGCUCUUAAACCCAACCCCAAGUCCCACAUUCAGGAGAAUUGGAGAAUCCUUGACUUCUUUUCUCACUUUCCAGAAAGCCUUCACAUGUUCUCCUUCCUAUUUGAUGAUGUGGGUGUCCCACAAGAUUAUAGGCACAUGGAUGGUUUUGGAGUUAACACAUAUUCCCUGAUCAACAAGGCUGGGAAAGCAGUGUACGUGAAAUUUCACUGGAAGCCCACAUGUGGUGUGAAGUGUCUGUUGGAGGAAGAGGCCAUUAAGGUGGGAGGAGCCAACCACAGCCAUGCUACUCAAGACCUGUAUGAUUCAAUUGCUGCUGGUAACUAUCCUGAGUGGAAACUGUUUGUUCAAACAAUAGAUCCUGCUCACGAAGACAAAUUUGAUUUUGACCCACUUGAUGUAACUAAGACUUGGCCUGAGGACAUUAUACCCCUUCAGCCCGUAGGUCGCCUGGUCUUGAACAAGAACAUAGACAAUUUCUUUGCUGAGAAUGAACAACUUGCAUUUUGUCCUGCCAUUAUUGUG